AGCUGCGUUGCCCUGGUAACAACUGUAAACAAAAGGCUGUGGUUAACUGCUCCGCUCCCUGACAGGAUUUUUCAUUCAUUCGUGCCAAUGAAACAGGAGGCCUCGAUUCAUGCAGAAGAUAUGGUACGUAACUGGGAUAUAAAAAUAUAUAUGUAAGAAAACUAUUUAACCUCAUAGACUAACCUUGUAUACGGUACAUUCUAACUGUAAGAAAGACUCUGACAUUGAUGCCUAGUCCCGCCCCCUUCACGUGCAGUUCAGUUAAGUUCUACUUGGAGCAGGGAGCACAUACUCAGCUCUGCUGCUCCAGUUGAGUUAUUACCUCAGGAUGAUUGCAUGUGAGAAGUUUGUGUGCGUGCCUUUCCACCAAGUAAGUGUUGUUGUGUCAGAAUAGUGAGUUAGUAGUUCGUUUCAGAGUGUGUAUGUUGAUGUAGAGUUGAUGUGACAGUAUUGUUAGAUUGGGGUGCUAAUCGCGAUUAGCAUGCUAAGCGGAGAACUAGCAUUGUAGUCAUUUGUAUUGGAAAUGUGCAAGUCAUGCUAAUUGAGCUAUGUUAGAUAUUCGAAGUAAUGAUAAGUAGUGAUGCUAGGAGGAGUAUUAUUUCAGUCAGUGUAUGUUUUGUUAGUUAAUACAGUGUGUUGAUUAGCCUUAUUCUGUGUUUGCAGACCACACACAACUGAGGCUCAUGCCCAUGUAAUUCAUCUGUGAAGUUUAAUAAAGAAACUAAAGGGAGACAACUGCUUCUAACUGCUUCAUGGUGUUCUAACCGACGCCCCCCAUACAACACAACAUCCCAACAAAUCAGAACCAGCGCAAUACAGUCCUUUAGUGAUCCUCACCAACACUAACAAUAUAUUUCUAAAGUUUUGAGUCAUUCCCGUUCAUUUGAAGCGUAAUUUCCCCCUUACUGUGGCUAGUUUGGAUGAGAUGACUUGACCCUAGCUAGCAUAACAUAAAUGGCAGCUAGCUCUACACUAUUUCGGGCAUUCGUUAACAAUCAGUGUUCAGAUAACUAGCGCAAACGUGCCGAGAUAUCUUGUUUAUUAUAAAAAAUAAACGCUUGUGUUGUGCCAUGGCUUAUAUGGUGAUGACGUUUGAGAUUGUAAAUUUACGGGCCACAGAUGUGUCUAUGGUAAGGCCGACCUGACGAGAUAGCUGCCUACUGAGGUUUGAUUGGAUAUGGACAUUGUUUAUUUCAGAAGGAAAAUGUUUGGAGUGGAAUUGUUUGGAAGACAAUCUUGGGACAAUUUUGCUCUUUGGGUCUUUGUGCCAACCAUGCCAGCUAUCGUAGGGUGCUCUGGGAACUUCUUAGAUCUGUUUACUGUAUGUACACUUACUGAAAUAAGCAUUUUGUUUACAUAAAAUCCCUUGUCAUUUCACCACUAGGUUUGAAACCCAGACAGCACGAAGCAUCUUGCCGACGUCAAAAUCAGAUCAACAGACAGGGACAUCAGCCUUCUCUUGGGAAUAGGCCAGAUAUGCCAUAACAAGAAAUGGUGUUUUGCCCCUGCGGUUGUGAAGAGGAUGCUGUGGAGGUGGCAGCAUGAACGUGUCACACAGACAUUGGCUAAACUACUCGGCUUCUACACUUGCCCUCAGAGUUCACAUAUGGUGAAGUGCACAGGUGUCCAGUCAGGUUCAGACUGAUGCUGGUAACAAGAGGAAAACAUGCUAAUUGAUGACCUUUCCAGCAUGUCCAACUCAUCAGCAUCAGGGGAGGAGAGUCGGUGAAGGUGGUGCACCAUCCAGGACCAGUCAUGGGCCACCAACACCUCUGCAAAAUCUGCACUUCUUGUGAACCCUCUAGAAGACACUACAACCACAAAACUGCUAAUAAACCAUCACAUACUACAUCA